rnacentral:rRNA from 1 species
GAUGAACGCUGGCGGCGUGCCUAAUACAUGCAAGUCGAGCGAACGGACGAGAAGCUUGCUCCUCUGAUGUUAGCGGCGGACGGGUGAGUAACACGUGGAUAACCUACCUAUAAGACUGGGAUAACUUCGGGAAACCGGAGCUAAUACCGGAUGAUAUUUUGAACCGCAUGGUUCAAAAGUGAAAGACGGUCUUGCUGUCACUUAUAGAUGGAUCCGCGCUGCAUUAGCUAGUUGGUAAGGUAACGGCUUACCAAGGCAACGAUGCAUAGCCGACCUGAGAGGGUGAUCGGCCACACUGGAACUGAGACACGGUCCAGACUCCUACGGGAGGCAGCAGUAGGGAAUCUUCCGCAAUGGGCGAAAGCCUGACGGAGCAACGCCGCGUGAGUGGUGAAGGUCUUCGGAUCGUAAAACUCUGUUAUUAGGGAAGAACAUAUGUGUAAGUAACUGUGCACAUCUUGACGGUACCUAUUCAGAAAGCCACGGCUAACUACGUG